UGAAGCCAUUAGGAGUAGUUAAUGGUCUUUCCUGGUGUUGGUAAGUAACACUGACUAAUUGACCAGGGGCGGCAGAUCGCUUUCACCGACUCACAGCAACAGGUGGUCUCCGCUGCAGACGGACGACAAACAAGAUUCACUCUCCUGAAGGCUGAGCCCAAUGGAGCAGAACAGUUAAUGUGGCGGAAAUUUAAAGAGAACAUCACAAGUAUUUGUGCUUAUUUUGUUGGCUGACAAACAGUUCGGAGGACUUUGGGGUUCUUCACUGGAAAUAUCAGGAGUUUGAGGGAUUUCAUGCUCACUUUGCUCCACUACAGAGCUCCUCUAUGAGAUUAAGAGCUUUCUGCGGCAAGCUGACAUGGAAGAAAUUUAGAGAAAAUAGGAUGUGUAACCACCAGCUAAGCUUGUCUUUAUGAGAAAGGAGGGGAUCAGGCUGUUGGAUUGCACCAGCCAAGAGAGGCACAAACAGCAAGUCAGAGGAGGAACUCGGAAAGAAAAACACAUUCCACAUCUGUGCCACACAGCGUGGUUCAUCAACAUCAACAAAUGCAUCCACACGCCCACCCGCAUGUCUUCACUCCAAUCCUGCACACUUCCUCAACCAUCCUACCAGCUCCAACUGUGAUGGGAACUCAGGACAGAAAUUUCAACAUGCAGCUUCCAACACAAAUGACAUCGAGGACCUCUUUUGCUCCAGUCAGUGCCUUUAAAACACCAACACAGAAGUCUGUCAAACCACCAUCCCGAGGGAGAUGGGGUGCACUGCAUGUCUGUAUCGCAUGGAAAAUUCACUACCACAAACAACUCAAGCAAAUGCUGCAAAAACCCAACAGUCUACAUCAAGAGAAUCCUGUCACCAGUUUACCCGACUCAGUGCAACACAAGGAAUCACAGCAGCCCUCCUGCAUGCAUCCGUAUUUGGACUUCUCAUGUGGACACAAUGCAUUUGGAAACACGUGUGAAAGGAGUGAAACUGGCAGAAUAAACCACAACAGAAGUUACCCUUCUGACGUUCGCACACCUUCACCAGCGUCUUGCCACAGUCGUGCAACAAAGAGGGAGCAGCCGGACCAGCCUCCAAACCUGCACUGGAGGGAGAAACCUGAUGAGAAGGAGAAACACAGGAGCUGUCAAACCGACACAAUGAAGGAUUUAUGUCUUACAGAGAAAUCACAGGACCCAAAGGUGACUCCAGAUCUUGUUGGCAGACACAGCAGCUCAGUUUACAGGAAAAGGCAGCUUGAGUGUGAAAGCUUCAUUAAAGUAAAGAGGGCGAAGCAGGAAAUCCUGGAUAACCAGUUUAGUGGUUCUAAGAAUCUGCACUCUGAUCAAUCUCCACUUAUUACGACUCACACACAUCCAGCUUCACACAUUGUACAAAGGCAGCAUAUGAACUUAAGUGAUUUAUCUGUCUUGCAUCCUAACAGCAGUAGAUGCAGCAUCUCUUUUCCAGUCACUGAACUGGAUCCCUACAAAGCUACUUCAUGGGACCAAAUGUUAGACAUUCACAGGAGAAUGGAUCUUCGUGAUAGACAAAAUGUGCUCAAAGACUACUCACUGAAUUCCUGCAAAGUAAUCAGGAUACCUGCUGCAGCUCAGAGGCAACAAAAUGCUCUUUAUGGUUUCUAUGCACCCCCUCUGUAUUUCCCUCCGGCUCUGAGGCAGCAGGAGAUCGUUUACCUGAGAGGAAGGGAAACACUCGCAUCAAGAGAUGUUUCACUACCACUGCAGACGUCACCGCCCUCAUCCUGGCAUUCUGGAAACGUCCUACCCGGAACUGUAAAUCUCAAGGGACUAUCUGAUAAAAAAGGAGAGCAGAUAUUAUCACAACAACAAUCACUCAAUAAUAGUUGAGUUCAGUGUGCAUCGUUUCAGUAGCGCUCCAUGCUGUCCCAAAUGUGAAAACCCAGAGAAAGUGGAGAGCUUUUGAUUACAGUCAAGUAUUACUAACAAAAGAUGCACAAUAGCUUUAGAUAGGGAAAGAGAAUUGUGAAUAAAGCUUGUUGUCCUGGAUAUGUGACUUUCUUACAAUAUGAUUCCCAUGUAAAACUGGUUCUUUCAUUAAACUCAUUAACAUUACUGUGUUUGUUCUUUUUUUGUUUACAUUAAGCUCAGAAUUUGCCAUAAAAAAGCUAAUGUUUGGAGUGAGACAAAUGCUACCCAAAUGUAAAUUUUAAUGGAGGUAAAUCAUAACUAAUUAGUGUAAUCAUUGCUAUGUAACAUGGCUAGGGCGGCGAGCACCAAUUUGAGCUAAAUGUUA
ensembl:lncRNA